CAAAUGUAGUUUAAAAAUAAUUCAAAUUUGUCCCGUAGAUGCAGAUGGAGAGUUUUAAUUUGUAAUCAGGGUAAAAAUUGUUACCAAUAUAAUUGUCUUACACAGGAAAAUGUAAAGUAGAACAAAAGUAUUAAUGCUUUUAUAACCAAGUUUUAACAAAAGUUCAAACUUGGAGAGACUUUUACUGAAAAGGCAACUUUGCUGCACCUAAAUCAACUUUUGUUUUUCGUUAAACUUGGCUAAAUAUAGCAAACAUUUACAAGCCAAAUUCUGUCCUUACUGAAAAUAAAUUUAAUAAAAAAACCUGAAAACUAGAAUUCUUUCUUUUAAUUCGGCAAACAUGCUAAAUCUACUGCAGCGUAUUUGGGCCAAAAAAAAGAAGUAAAUUCCUGCCAAAAAACUCAGAAAUUGAGCGUAAUCUCAUAACUUUUCUAGAAAAGAAACAAGGAAAUUCGAUAGUAUAAAAGUCAAAUUUUUAGAUUAAUAUCAGAAAUUAGUAUUAUAAAAGCAAACUUGUAAGUU